CUCUGUAGAUAAACUAAUCUUACCACCAUUUUACUACGCAUAAACAUCUUUCUUAAAGCUUGUUCAACAAAAGCUGAAGCUAGUUUUGACCGUUAAGUUGGUAACAUUAAAAGGUUUUCACCCAACACGUAAGUUUACAAAAAUUAAGUUUACUAUAGGGCAGGUUAGCUUACUCACCAGUGGGGAUAGUACCGGAAACUCACACCAUGUAAGUUAGCUUGGUGAACACCUUCAUGUGGAGAUUUCCUUACCUUACUGAGAUCCUGAUGAGUCAUUUCGGGUUACCUGCUAUCUCCUUCUGUCCAAUUUCAAAGCAGCUGAAAAUUCAUUCUGCAAAAAACGUCAGUUUGAAAGCAAAAUCCAGUUGUGUCCUCUAGCUGUUUCUGUCCUUUGAACUAUUGCGGUGUCUUCUGGUCUGUGUGCUCUCCUUAUGACACUCAGAACCUCAGAACCCUGCAAGACUUCUAAUGUCAGGGAUUCUAGAAUGUUGCCUGUGUCAUCAAUUCUAGACACAGUGACCUGGAUGUCUCCUCCUCCUGGUUUCAGCUCAUGGGUGGAGAUUUCCCCCAGGAUCUCUUUGUCAACAGAGAAUAACAUCUCCAACCCACAGUCCCCGAUGUUGUUAUCCCUGAAGAGUUACACAUACAAUUACAGCACAACUGCUACAACACUGUGCAUCAUCCAUUCAUACAACAUCCUACAAUAAAAAUGAUUAUAACAGUG